rnacentral:rRNA from 1 species
GGCCUGUUGAUUAUAAUUUAAGGUCAAGCCUGCCCAAUGAUGGUUAUUUGAAUGGCCGCAGUAUUUUUGACUGUGCAAAGGUAGCAUAAUCACUAGUUUUUUAAAUGGAAGCUUGAAUGAAAGGUUAAAUGAAAAAAUAGCUGUCUCUGGAAAAAUUUAUUAGAAUUUUAUUAUUAAGUUAAAAGGCUUAAAUAUUUAUAGAAGACGAGAAGACCCUAUAGAGUUUGAUAUUUAUAUAGGAAUAUAUUUUUAGGGUAUAAAAAAUAGUUUCAGAGUAAGUAUUUUGUUGGGGUGAUGAAAAAAUUUAAUAAACUUUUUUUUUAUUUUUACAUUGGUUUAUGAUUAAGUGAUCCUAAAUUUUAGAUUAAAAGAUAAAAUUACCUUAGGGAUAACAGCGUUAUUUUCUUUAGAGUUCUUAUCGAAAAGAAAGAUUGCGACCUCGAUGUUGGAUUAAAAUUUAUUUUUGGUGUAGAAGCUAAUUAAUUUGGUCUGUUCGACCUUUAAAAUUUUACAUGAUCUGAGUUUAAACCGGUGUGAA